AUGUCUGAUUAUUUGUGCGGUGAGUUUAUAUCACCUUUUGCAUAAAGAUUAACUUUAACACAAGGAUGUAUAAGUAUUAAAGCAACUACUAGGUAUUGCAUAAGCAUAAAAGUGCAUAUUAUUUACAUGUGUUUUUAAACAUAUCAGGAAAAUAUAGCCAUUUACCACACAGCAUCAAUGAAUUUACCAUCUUCCUCACAUCCAGGAUUAGCACCAGGAUAUUUUGCAACAGGAAAAGGGGAGGCUUUUCCCCAAACAGAUGAAAUACAAUAUAAGGACAUCACAUUUAAGUUUGAUUCAGGCUGAUGACAGAUGACACAAAUGACGUCCUAUGAGCGACUCAUAGGAAUAACACAUUAAUGAAGACCCUCCCACAAAAGGAGUGUGCUUCAGGUUGUGUCGAUGUCUGCACCAUACAGACAGACGGGUCUGAACUGUAUGAACGGAACAUAACAACAUGCUUUGAGAUCUCCAAACCAUAUUGUACCACAUCGACCACCAUUGCAGAAAUGAUAAUGGAACAGUACGACCCUCGGAUCGCUGUUAUUCUAGGCUCACCGCUCCACCCCACAGGAAACAGAGCGGGCCUGCACCGCUUACACAAGCCACCCAUAAGUUCUGCUGAACCGUAAGAGAACCCACAAAACACCACCGGCGGUGGCUACGCUACCCCAUCGGAGAACCUGAAGAUACAGUAAACAAAGGAUGCAGACUUUGGCUUGCUUUGUAAACAGAGGCCACUCAGGACGAGGAGGAUUUGAGGAGUGUACGGUGGGCAGGCUGCUACCCUCGUCUCUCAGAAUGCUACAUUUGAGAGUUACAUCAAGUCUUUCGACGGUCACCACACAUGCAAAUACUCACGAACAUAGUUUUACUCUGGGCCCCGUACGUCUGAACAUGCUACACAUUCAGCAAAAUGCCACGGCGACAAAGAAUCACAUUAUAGACCAGAUGCAAGGAACAGAACCAACCCAGGCCCCGAAAUGAAGCUCUAUGCACUGUGGGACUAAUCUAUGACUUUAGUCCUAUUAGGACUUUAGUUUUUUUUUUUUUUAAGUUUUAAAAUAUUUGUCACAAGCACAAGAGGGG